rnacentral:rRNA from 1 species
UACGUAUGGUGCAAGCGUUAUCCGGAUUUACUGGGUGUAAAGGGAGCGCAGGUGGUUUAUUAAGUCUGGUGUAAAAGGCAGUGGCUCAACCAUUGUAUGCAUUGGAAACUGGUAGACUUGAGUGCAGGAGAGGAGAGUGGAAUUCCAUGUGUAGCGGUGAAAUGCGUAGAUAUAUGGAGGAGCACCGGUGGCGAAAGCGGCUCUCUGGCCUGUAACUGACACUGAGGCUCGAAAGCGUGGGGAGCAAACAGG